GAGGAAAGCAAAAUUGCCACUCGACCGCCAUGUGCACUGUUGGAAGCUUGGAAGCUGUCCUCCUCGAAAAAUUUGCAGGCGAGACAAAAGAAAGCCUUGAAAAGGAAAGAGAAGCACUUACAUUAGAGGUGAAGAAGAAGAACAACCUUCAGCUAAUCAACUGUAAGAUGGAGAAAACCUUCGCCCAUAGGAGACGGGAGCUUAUUGAAGAUAUGCCCUUCACAGCUGAGUUCAGAAACAGAUGGCCAGCCCUAUUUUCUCAGAAUCAGGUAAAUGCAGAGUUUACCCGCAUUACAACAAUCCCCCUGCUGUCAACAUUUAUGGCUCAACUGGAUCAUUACUCCAGCCAACUGAUGAAGGUUUUCAAAAAGAAGGGAGGGGCAGCAGGACGCAAAAUCUGCGAGCUCAUGGUAGCCAUGGACCAGAAUCCAAGCAUUGAAGUAAGACGGGAAUGCAUACUGAAGGCAUUAUGCAUCUACUUAAAUGAAGAUCCUGACAACCUUGUUUAAGAACUAUAUGGAUGUUGGUGCAGUGGGAGAGAUGGAGAAAGUCGUUUUGGGUAUCUAUGUUGUGCUGCGAGAGGGAGCAGAGGCAACAGAUCCACCUGAGGAUGUUGGCGUCUUGGUUGAAGGAUGUACAGUGCUGCAAGACUUGAGAGAUGUGGCAAAUGGCUGUGCAGCCCUCUUUGGCUUGAUCUAUUGUUUAAACUUGAACUAUCCCAAAGACCUGCGAUACACUUUUGAGUUCCUUCAAAAAGUAGUGAUGGGAUUGGAUGGGAACAAGCUCUCCAAUAAGGUGCAAGUCCUCAAAAAUAAACUGCAUGAGUAAAUUGCCAUCAAGGAUUUGGAUUGGAUUUGUGCUGAUUGUUGUACAAGAGAAAAAGGAGCGCUUUGGACUGUGGACUGAUGCUGGACUCAACAGUUCAGAGUCAAGACAUUUUUUUUGUUGGUCUGUAAUUGUGUUUGAAACUUUCACCUGUGGUACAUUGAAUGUGGAGGUGCAAACAGUGCUCUGAGACUAUCUACGAUGUACCAGUUACUAAAACAUUACAAAUUGAAGCAUUAUCAUUUGGGUCAGAGACACUCAUAUCCAUGCACAUACUAUGAAUGCCCAUGCUCAUUCAAAACAUAUCUGAGUCAAUGUCAUGUUGAUGUGUCAAGUACUAGAAUUGCAGAACAAGGAGUUUGUAUAUGCCUUUUGUGCCCUGGAAGUGAAAUACCAUCCAGUAGAGAGUAUUUUUCUCACAUCAAUAAUCAUCUGAAGCAGUUGAAAUAGUGAAAGGUGGUACCGUAAAUUAUGACCAUCAUGCAUCUGAAGACCAUCCAGGGGAUCUUGUAGAAACUGCCUCAGACUUAGAUUGUCAUAAUUUGAUUUUCUUGCAAGUUCUCAUUUGGUAAUUGGCAACUGUUCUUUUGAAAGGUUUUUUCACAUGUGCCAUGUUCAGCAUUUGAUGGCUUGCUUGAGGAGUUGCAUUUCAUUUUGACCUCAGCAGCGCUGCCUAUAUCACAUAGUACAGGUUUUGACAUUUUCAGUAAACAUAUCUUUCAAGUUAACCAUUUUAUAGUUAACCAAAUGUUUAAGUUAUCUAUAAAACCUAUUUGGUUCAACAAAUGUUGACAGGUGUGGGGUUAAGAGUAAUGUGCAUUUUAUUACUCUGAUAUUACUCUGAUUUCCUAAUUUUCAGUUUUGUGACUGUGUAUACUGUGUAUAUAUAUGGAAUUAUACACAUUUUAUUUAUAAAAGCCCCAGUAUUUCCUAAUGAUUCCUAAUAAAGGUUCAAGUGAAAUUAAGCAAAUUAAAUUGUACUCAUUUAACUAUUUUAUUUAGCCAGU